rnacentral:pre_miRNA from 1 species
AAUAAAUGUAGUUUUGCAUACUGUUUAUGUUCAACGUUUAACCGUCCGUCUUAUUUGAAAAACUUUUAUGAUUAGUAUUUUUAUUGUGUUUAGAUGAUAAAACAUGAAUAGUAGUUUAUGUGUGACUAUUUUUUUUAAUUUUUUCAUAAACUUUUUAAAUAAGACAGACGGUCAAACGUUGAACACGGAUACCUACGGCCGUACUAUGU